AUUUCUGCCCACAUUUUACAAAGACAUAAUUGCAUGGUGGGUGCCUUGCGACUUUUGAAAUAAAUACAUUCUGUGAACGAAGAGAAAUGCAAACAUGUUGGCAAAACUGAUUAUUUUCAUUGUGGAUUUCAUGCUUGCUUUGGCCACUUUUGUUAUCUUUUCCUUAAUGACUGCCACUUGUAUUUUCAUCUUGGUCAUUUUCUAUAUUUUCAAAGUGGAGAUGGAAAAAAACUGUGACUUCAACAAGGGCCACAUCUGGGUGCUGGAUUCUAGUGAUGCUACUGGGGAGCCCUUGGCAGGUGGCACAGAGAAAGUCAGCUCCAAGCUGCUUCCUGUCCAUUUUCCAGCUGUAGGAGAAGGAUCUUUCCUGACCCGGGAGAGUGGUCUCCUCUUCUAAAGAGCAAGGAGCUCUCUGCGGUGGAGAAGGCAUGUGAAGACUUCCCAGAACGCUGCACCCAACUGACUGAGAGGUCCUUUUUAAGGGCAUUCAAACUGUCACCUUCACAUGAAUGGCAAUGAAAGUCUCAUAAAGAAGCAGAAAUACCCAGGAGGCAUAAAGAGUCAUCAUGCUUCAAAAGUACAUGUGUUAGGACUUCACGACCUCAGGAAAAGUAGACCCCAUAACUCUUAAAAGCUCAACCUUGGAGAGGAGAAAUAUACUAUUUGUUGACACAGCACUGAAACUUGUUGAAAUGUCUUUGGAGCUUGAGAUGUCGAGAGCCAUCAAAAUGUUCUCAAGAAUUAAAUUGAAAAAUGUUUCUUCAAAAUAUCUUAGCCAACCAAAUACAAACAUUUUUGUCAUUGUGACAAAAAACUGGCCAAUUGCCCUUGCUAGUCUCAGCACAGCCCAAGAGGCGCAUCCUUCAUUAGCCAACUGGAAAACAGUGUGCAGUCUACGCUUCUGACCAGAUGGGCGUCUCUCGUCACCAUAACAUCAUGUAAACACUUUAUUUAUUAUACUGACCAUACUUUGUAUUGCACUUGCAUUGGUUAUUUGUAAAGCUUUUCCUAUUUCAUCAAUAGAUUAUCCUUAAAUUUUAGCAACUGCA